rnacentral:rRNA from 1 species
UACGAAGGGGGCUAGCGUUGCUCGGAAUUACUGGGCGUAAAGCGCACGUAGGCGGUCUUUUAAGUCGGGGGUGAAAUCCUGGAGCUCAACUCCAGAACUGCCUUCGAUACUGGAAGACUUGAGUCCGGGAGAGGUGAGUGGAACUGCGAGUGUAGAGGUGAAAUUCGUAGAUAUUGGGAAGAACACCAGUGGCGAAGGCGGCUAACUGGUCCAGAUCUGACGCUGAGGUGCGAAAGCGUGGGGAGCAAACGGG